UACGUAGGGUGCAAGCGUUAAUCGGAAUUACUGGGCGUAAAGCGUGCGCAGGCGGCUUUGCAAGACAGAUGUGAAAUCCCCGGGCUUAACCUGGGAACUGCAUUUGUGACUGCAUGGCUGGAGUGCGGCAGAGGGGGAUGGAAUUCCGCGUGUAGCAGUGAAAUGCGUAGAUAUGCGGAGGAACACCGAUGGCGAAGGCAAUCCCCCUGGGCCUGCACUGACGCUCAUGCACGAAAAGCGUGGGGAGCAAACAGG
rnacentral:rRNA from 1 species